rnacentral:misc_RNA from 1 species
CCCAGCUACAAGACUUGACAGGAUCGAUCCCGGCUCUAGAUAUCGAUCGUCAGCCUCUACACUGACCCGGAAUAAAAACGCCGCCCAAUUCCGGGCGGCGUUUUUGCGUUUGGCGGAUGCUUCAGCAUCGACCGCCUCAGCGCGGGGUGUCGGCAAACGCCGCAAGAAUGCGCGCCCACGAGCGGAUACCCUUGUGGAAGCUCUUCAGGUCGUACUUCUCGUUCGGCGAGUGGAUGUUGUCAUCCUCGAGGCCGAACCCGAUCAGCACCGUGUCGAGUCCAAGCGUCUUCUUGAAAUCCGCAACAAUCGGAAUCGAUG